UUCCUCUCUGGAAACAAUAUCCUGAUGCUGAACGAGUGUGUUGGGAAAAGCUCCAGCAUCAGUGAUUUUGUUGCUAGCGGGAGAA
ensembl:miRNA dre-mir-338-2 microRNA 338-2